rnacentral:misc_RNA from 1 species
GGAAGGAUCAUUAACACUCUAACGAGUAACAAUAACACCAUUCUAGUUGAACAGUACGAUUGUCUCUAUUCCGGUCUAGAGGUCAGUCUGGCGUGUUGGAGACAACACGUUCAGUGGGUGCCAAUUACCCCGUCGUAGUAAUACGGCGGCUGGCACUACAGCCUCUAGCACUGUUGACAUUGGUUAUUUUUUACACCCCCUUUUAAAACCUGAUUGCGGAGGCUCCCACACUUUGUGUGUCUGCUGAACCAAUCGACAACAUUGAGUUUCUCUGAUUAACCAUAUCAAAAAAAUUAUCGGACAACUUUUGGCAGUGGAUAUCUUGGCUCUUGCAUCGAUGAAGAACGCAGCAAAUUGCGAUAAUUAAUGUGAAUCGCAGAAUCCUGUGAAUCAUCAAAACUUUGAACGCACAUUGCAGUCCAUCCUCGUGAUGGACUAUGCCUGUUUGAGAAUUGGUACUAUCUCUCAACUCCUUUGAGUUGGACGAUGAGGUUGACAGCGGCCCCCUUCACCGGAGGCGGCGUCUCCCUUCAAUAGCACCAAACACUGGUUGAAACUCCUGCGGUAUACCAAACGCAGAGAUGUGCUGUUUCAGUGCCUAUAUUACAAUAUAAGCACUGGUCAAAAACAGUCUCUCUUGCGGCUGUACGGCAGUUGAAAACCAAAAAACCCAAUGGCAGAUGCGCAAGCAUCGCACCAUUAAUCUCAAAUCAGGUAAGAGUACCCGCUGAACUUAAGCAUAUUACUAAGCGGAGGAAAAGAAACUAACUAGGAUUCCCUCAGUAACAGCGAGUGAACAGGGAAAAGCUCAAAGUUUAAAUCGGGAAGGGUUUACCCAACCUGAGUUGUACUUUGCAGAUGUUGUUCCUGGAAGGCGCCGGGUAUAAGUUUGCCUCAGAAUGCGGCAUCAAAGAGGGUGAAAAUCCCGUAUUUGACCCGGAAAGUCCUUUCAGUACGGAGCUUCAUCAAAGAGUCAGGCUGUUUGGGAUUGCAGCCCAAAGUGGGUGGUAAGAUUCAUCUAAAGCUAAAUAUUUGCAAGAGACCGAUAGCGAACAAGUACCGUGAGGGAAAGAUGAAAAGAACUUUGAAAAGAGAGUGAUAAUAGUCCUUGAAACUGCCAAAGGGACAAGCGUUAGGAACUGUUGUUGCGCUCAGGAUCUGUUUCUCAGACGACACUGCUUUGGUCGGUUGACUCGCAAGAGCUCCGGCUGGGGAUUUGAUGUCGGCUGAGGGGCGUCGGAUCCUGGGAUGCCGGUCAACCACACUUUCUGUCCUCCCCCAAGGCUGCAGGCUGUUUGCCUGUGCUGGAAGGGAGUGGACUUGAGUGCGACCCGACCCUACCGGGGCCGGGCUGGCGGCGUAGAACGGUGUUCGGCAUGGGUGUGCGUCGACGUAAAGUGCUUGCACGAUGCGCUGGCGAUGCGUUCAUGCUGGGUGUCGCUCCGUUGCUAGAGGUUGACUACCUCAUGGUUUCUAACGUCCCGUCUUGAAACACGGACCAAGGAGUCUAGCAUAUAUGCGAGUAUUCGGGUGGUAAACCCAUGAAUGCGCAAUGAAAGUGAAGGCGCUCGUUGGAGCGCUGAGGUAGGAAUCGUCGGUUCGCCGGCGAGGCACUAUCGACCGAUCUGGAUGUUUUUUGAAGGAUUCGAGUUAGAGCAUAUCUGCUAGGACCCGAAAGACGGUGAACUAUGCCUGUAUAGGGUAAAGCCAGAGGAAACUCUGGUGGAAGCUCGUAGCGAUACUGACGUGCAAAUCGUUCGUCAAAUAUGGGUAUAGGGGCGAAAGACUAAUCGAACCGUCUAGUAGCUGGUUCCCUC